CCCUUAGAUGUCCUGGGCUGCACGCGCGCUACACUGGAAGUUACGGAUUGAGAUACUACCUUGUCCGAAAUGGUCCGGGUAAUCACCUAAAAGCUUGUCAUAAUUGGAAUGGAUUAUUGUAACUAGUAAUCCUGAACGAGGAAUUCCUAGUAAGUCCCAGUCAACAGCUGGUACUGAUUACGUCCCUGCCCUUUGUACACACCGCCUGUCGCUACUACUGAUUGGACGUUUAAGCAAGAUUUUUAAACACUGACAGUGUGUAGUUCACGCUAUACUACAGUGAGAAGAAGAAGAUCGAGCUUACUUGUCUAGAGGAAGUAAAAGUCGUAACA
rnacentral:rRNA from 1 species